UGUCUUAUAGCUCAAUUGGUGGAGCAGCGAUCUGAUACGUCGAAGGUUGUAGGUUCAAGUCCUGCUAAGACAA
rnacentral:tRNA from 2 species